CCUUCUGUGAUGAUUUGAUUAGUAGUUGACUUUCGUUCUUCUGAGCUUGCUGAAGCCACAAUUUAGUCACUGAGAAGG